rfam:Haemonchus placei strain MHpl1 genome assembly, scaffold: HPLM_scaffold0003227
ACUGGGCGUCGUGGCGGGCGCCUGUGAGCCAGCUUCUAGGCAGUAGAUUGGUGUGGAUGGAGUGAGGGGAGGAGUCCCGUGGCGGUCGUGGUGUACGACGACCGGGCGUCCGCGCCAAGCGUUGCGUCGCCAGGGUGCCGCUGUCGGAGGACGGUGGCUCCCGGGCGGUCAAGGAGGGGUGCACGGCUCAGGCCCGAAAGGGAGCAGGCAAAAGCCCCCGCGCGACGCAGUGGCCGGAUAGCGCCCGCGAGUGCUCACGUCGUCACGGCCUCUCCGACACCUUCAGACCUCCAAUCGU